rnacentral:lncRNA from 1 species
UCGACCGAGACUAAAAGAGAAUUUGUAGGACACACCAAUGCGAGACAGGGGCCACGUGUCAAGCCAGGUAAGCACGCGCAGGAGGGCCAAGAGCAUACCAACUUUACAAAAUCAUGCUCGCUUACCUAUUCGAUGUUACUUGGCCCGAUUAUAGCCUAUCGUGGCACAAUAAAACUCAAGCACAAGCAUAAAUGCCAUGCAAAGAGCCA